rnacentral:rRNA from 1 species
GACGAACCGUGCGAACGUUGUUCGGAAUCACUGGGCUUAAAGGGCGCGUAGGCGGGCAUUCAAGUCAGGGGUGAAAUCCUCCAGCUUAACUGGAGAACUGCCUCUGAUACUGGAUAUCUCGAGGAAGGUAGGGGCGUGCGGAACAGUUGGUGGAGCGGUGAAAUGCGUUGAUAUCAACUGGAACUCCGGUGGCGAAGGCGGCACGCUGGACCUUUUCUGACGCUGAGGCGCGAAAGCCAGGGGAGCAAACGGG